rnacentral:rRNA from 1 species
CGGAGGAUCCAAGCGUUAUCCGGAUUCAUUGGGUUUAAAGGGUGCGUAGGCGGAAUGAUAAGUCAGUGGUGAAAGCCCUUCGCUUAACGAAGGAACUGCCAUUGAUACUGUCAAUCUUGAGUACAUUUGAUGUGGGCGGAAUGUGUCAUGUAGCGGUGAAAUGCUUAGAUAUGACACAGAACACCGAUUGCGAAGGCAGCUCACAAAACUGUAACUGACGCUGAGGCACGAAAGCGUGGGUAUCAAACAGGAUUAGAUACCCUGGUAGUCCACGCUGUAAACUAUGAUUACUCGAAGUGUGCGAUAUACUGUACGCCUCUAAGCGAAAGCAAUAAGUAAUCCACCUGGGGAGUACGCUCGCAAGAGUG